rnacentral:rRNA from 1 species
UACGAGGGGGGCGAGCGUUGUUCGGAAUUAUUGGGCGUAAAGGGUGCGUAGGCGGUUCCGCAAGUCCUGUGUGAAAUCUUCGGGCUCAACUCGAAGUCUGCACGGGAAACUGCGGGGCUUGAGUGUGGGAGAGGUGAGUGGAAUUCCCGGUGUAGCGGUGAAAUGCGUAGAGAUGUGGAGGAACACCAGUGGCGAAGGCGACUCUUUGGCCUGUAACUGACACUGAGGCGCGAAAGCGUGGGGAGCAAACAGG